ACAGGAUGAGACCUUGUCUCACACACACACACAAAAAGAAAGGGCUGGAAUCUGAGUAGCUGAGGUGCUUAUGUGACUACAUGCCUACAUCACUGACCCCCAAUAAACACCUUGGACACAAGACUCAGGCUGCUUCAUCGAUACUUUCUUAUUUUAUGUUAUGAUGCAUCAAAGUGAACUCUGAUCCCUUCAAACAGAAUCAUUGCUUUCAGAUAAAGAAACCUCAGAUCAAAUAUAAGCAUCAAAAUCUACAAAGAUUUUAGAGGGUGAAGAAACACGGAAAGAUCUCUGGUGAUGGAGCCAGCAUUGAUGAACCAAGAAAAGUCUUAAACGUGAAGAAGCCUGUGAUAAACAAGGACUGUGCCCAGGGGAAUAACAAGGAAGAAAAAUGUCAGAAGAAUUAGUUUCUCUCUAAUUGAACAAAUGUAUUUAUAUUUCCUUGUUGAUAGGCAUAGAUUCUCAAUGAGAAACUGAAACUUAUGAAGUUACAUUUAAGACUCCAGUUGUGACAAUGAUGACCAAUGCUCUUUGGUAUUACGUUUUCCAAUUCAACACAGGAAAUGAGUUGGAAUUUGUUUUGCAGUUUUUUUUUCAGCCUGUUUUGUGGAGUAUUUUUUCCUGUGAUCUGUAGAAACACAAUGAUAACAUUACGAACUUUGCCAGUCAUUGGCCCAUCAAAAAUGUUUGUAUGCUUGAAUGGGCAAGAAAUUACAUUUGAUGGAGUCCCAUGUGCCUCAUUAACUAAAUUUUUCUUUUCGGUUAUUAUUAAAGGACAGUAGGUGGCCAGGCACGAUGGCUCAUUCCUGUAAUCCCAGCAGUUCAGGAGGCCAAGGUGGGCAGAU
rnacentral:lncRNA from 1 species